UUAUUAGAACCAAAAAAACCUCCUCAAUGGCCCUAUUUAAUCCUAGGCAUGGCUGUUGAUGGAUUAUAGAUUUUAUAGUUUUCUGUCUGGCGUAAUUUUAGCCUGGCGAUGGUUCUUAGAACCAGAACAAAACCUCAUUGGCCCCUUUAAAUGACCAGUGUGUGGCCAGUGAUUAAUAAUAGAUUUUAUAGUUUUCUGCCUGGCGUAAUUUUAGCCUGGCGAUGGUUCUUAGAACCAGAACAAAACCUCAUUGGCCCUUAUAAAUGACCAGUAUGUGGCCAGUGAUUAAUAAUAAAUUUUAUAGUUUUAUGCCUGGCAUAAUUUUAGCCAUGGCGAUGGUUCUCAGAACCAGAAAGAGAACCUCAAUGGCCCUAUUUAAUGCUAAGUGUGGCCGUUGAUCUAUAAAAGAUGUUAGAGUUUUUGAAUCUCUGAGAUUGAGGGGAGGAACAAUUGCACAACUGCUGCCAAUGUUCCUUGAAAGAGACAACUUGUUGGGCAUGGCAGAAGAAGAAAAAGUAAAAGAAUAAAGAAGAGAGCAUGAAAAUGUCUCCAGCGCAAUCCCUGUGAUGUGGCGUCCUACACUGUGAGUUCGAAGGCAUGAAUCCAAGCUGACCUGUAGACGAAGAAGAAGACACCAACAGUAAGACAGAUGGUUUAAUUCUUAUAAAUGAAAGUAAGCAUGAUGAUGCUUUUUAAUGUGAGGAAUACCAAUAAAGGAGAAUAUUUAUGGCUCAAAGUUGAAAUGAGGCAUCCUUGGUGCUCUGUGAACUUGGUGGCUUUCUCGUAGAUUUUUCAUUACCCAACUAGGGAACAUCAUCAGUGCUAGUAGAAGGGAGUGUGGCUUGCUGUCAGGUUAUGUUUGAGUGGCUUCUUUCAGUAUUGUUGAAAAUAGUCUUAGUGGUUCUUAGUUGCGCUAUUUGUUGUUAGGUUCUUUGACCGUUCCUUGAUUGCGGUAUUGUUUUCAUGCCCUGGAGAUGGUUUUUAGAACCCGAAAUAAAACCUCAACAGCCAUUUUUAAUAUUAGCUGUGGCCGUUGAUCUAGAAAAGAGAUUAGGGUUUUCUAGCUUUGCAGACUGAGUGGAGGAACGAUCGCACACCUGCUGCCAAAAGAUCCUCGAAAGAGACAAGACCUGCUGGGCACGACUGAGGAAGAAACAGAAGCAGAAGAAGAAAGAAGAGAGCAUGAAAAUGUCUCCAGCUGAAGCCCUUCGGCUGUGAUGUGGCCUCCUAUGUUGUGAGGCAUGUACUCUACACCACCUUAGAAGACAGAAGACUCAGCUGUCAGCCUGCGGCAUUGAUGGAAGAAGGAGGAAUGGAACGCAAGAAUGAAUAUGAUCUCCAUCAAGAAUGCCCCUUCACCACGUCAAUCACAACUCACCUUUAGAUGACAGAUUAGAUACCAUUCUUGCCUGCUGUAAAUUUAGCCAUGGCGAUGGUUAUUAGAACCAAAAAAACCUCCUCAAUGGCCCUAUUUAAUUCUGGGCAUGGCUGUGGAUUAUAGAUUUUAUAGUUUUCUGCCUGGUGUAAUUUAGCCAUGGCGAUGGUUCUUAGAACCAGAAAAAAAACCUCAUUGGCCCCUUUAAAUGUCCAGUGUGUGGCCGGUGAUUAAUAAUAGAUUUUAUAGUUUUCUGCCUGGUGUAAUUUUAGUCCUGGCGAUGGUUCUUACAACCAGAAAAAAAACCUCAGCAGCCCCUUUAAAUGACCAAUAUGGGGCUUGGGAUUAAUAAUAGAUUUUAUAGUUUUCUGCCUGGCAUAAUUCUAGCCAUGGCGAUGGUUCUUAGAACUAGAAAUAAAACCUCAUUGGCCCCUUUAAAUGACCAAUAUGGGGCUGGGGAUUAAUAAUAGAUUUUAUAGUUUUCUGCCUGGUGUAAUUUUAGCCAUGGCGAUGGUUCUUAGAACCAGAAAGGAAAUCCCUCAAUGGCCCUUUUUAAUGCUAGGUGUGGCCAUUGAUCUAUGAAAGAUUUUUGAAUCUCUGAGAUUGAGGGGAGGAACAAUUGCACGCCUGCUGCCAAUGUUCCUCGAAAGGGACGUGGGCAGAGGAAGAAGGAAAAGAAGGAAGAAAGAAGAGCAUGAAAAUGUCUCCAUCUCAAGCCCUUCGGCUGUGAUGUGGCAUCCUACGUUGUGAGGCAUGUAUUCUACACCACCUUAGAAGACAGAAGACUCAGCUUUCAGCCUGCGGCAUUGAUGGAAGAAGGAGGAAUGGAACGCAAGAAUGAAUAUGAUCUCCAUCAAGAAUGCCCCUUCACCAAGUCAAUCACAACUCACCUUUAGAUGAUAGAUUUUUUAGAGCAUUCUUGCCUGCUGUAAAUUUAGCCAUGGCAAUGGUUAUUAGAACCAAAAAAACCCUCCUCAAUGGCCCUAUUUAAUCCUAGGCAUGGAUGGUGAUGAAUUAUAGAUUUUAUAGUUUUCUGCCUGGCAUAAUUUUAGCCCUGGCAAUGGUUCUUAGAACCAGAAAUGAAACCUCACUGCCCCUUUUAAAUGAGCAGUGUGUGGCUAGUGAUUAAUAAUAGAUUCUAUAGUUUUCUGCCUGGCAUAAAUUUAGCCAUGGCGAUGGUUCUUAGAACUAGAAAGGAAAUCCCUCAAUGGCCCUUUUUAAUGCUAGGUGUGGCCAUUGAUGUAUGAAAGAUUUUUGAAUCUCUGAGAUUGAGGGGAGGAACAUUUGCACGCCUGUUGCCAAUGUUCCUCGAAAGAGACAAGACUUGCUGGGCAUGGCAGAGGAAGAAGGAAAAGCGAAAGAAGAAGAAAAGAAGAGAGCAAGAAAAUGUCUCCAGCCUAACCGUUUUAGCCUUCGGCUGUGAUGUGACCUACACUAUGAGCGUGUACGCUACAUCACCUUAGAAGACAGAACACUCAGCUGUCAGCCUGCGGCGUUGAUGGAAGAAGAAGGAAUGGAACACAAGAAUGAAUAUGAUCUCCAUCAAGAAUGAAUAUGAUCUCCAUCAAGAAUGUUCCUUCACCAAGUCAAUCACAACUCACUUUUAAAUGAUAGAUUUUAUACUAUUCCGUAGUUCUUACCACUUGGGAGGGGCCACAGAAGCAUUCCACAUGCCAACCCAUCGUGUAAAUAAUAGUGAUGACUUAUUUGUAGAGGUCUUUCAGUCCCUGAGCUUCCUCUAUGUGACACUCACACUGAAUAGGUGUGUCUCUCUGCAGGUCUCCUUAAGACAAUGGAGGGAGGGGCAUCUCAAGGGCAUCUUCACAAAGACAGCUUGACUCAUAACUCAAACAAAAGAGGAGUAGCAAGGCCG